rnacentral:rRNA from 1 species
AACCCUUAUCUUUAGUUACCAUCAUUAAGUUGGGGACUCUAAAGAUACUGCCCCGGUUAACGGGGAGGAAGGUGGGGAUGACGUCAAGUCCUCAUGGCCUUUAUGUCCAGGGCUACACACGUGCUACAAUGGGUUGUACAAAGGGUUGCGAACUCGCGAGAGUAAGCCGAUCCCAAAAAGCAACUCUUAGUUCGGAUUGGAGUCUGCAACUCGACUCCAUGAAGCUGGAAUCGCUAGUAAUCGUGGAUCAGCAUGCCACGGUGAAUACGUUCCCGGGCCUU